UGGCGUGCCAGUUAUAUAUUUUUAAAUUAACAUAUGCUGUCAUAUGUCUUGUGUUAUGUUUGAGUCCUGUAGCUGCUUUUUAUGGUUGUAUUUGUUUGUAUGCAUGCUGUGUUAUAUUGUGUAUGAGCAGUUCAUGGUAUUGUGUGUGUUACAUAUGCAUGCAGGAUGAGUGCCAUAUUAUGUGUGUAAAUGUGGACUGUGGGGGCUGCUUACGAGAUUGUGUGUGGGGGUUAUAUGUCAUAUUGUGUGUGAUGUUGUGUAUAUGUAUGGGGUCUGCGUGGGGUACUCUAUUUAGGAGGCUGCUUGUGGUGUUGUGUACGAGCAUGAUGGUUGUCAGUAGUGUUGCAUUUGUGGGGGCUGUGUGUGUUUACACGUGGGCUGUUUGCAUUAUUUUCAUAUGGUGGAGGCUUCUUCUGCAGCUAUGUCUGCUCUGGCUGUGUGGGUGGCUUCCCUGGGGUCAAGUGGGAACCUGACUCGCCAGGUACAGGGCAAGGGCUGGUGCUGCAGCUAAUCCUCUAGUGCAGAUUCCCCUUCACGAGCAAUAGGAAACAGUGAUCCGAGAUCACCUCCUCCAAGAACUGCAAUGAGUAAUGUGAGGAUUGUCU